UAGAACAUAGCAUUAAUGCAUUAGAUCCCAUUAGAACUCCAAAGUUAAGUGCGCUCAUGCUAGAGUAGUAUUGAGAUAGGUGACCACCUGGGAAGUCCUAGUGUUUUAC
rnacentral:rRNA from 1 species